GACGAACGCUGGCGGCGUGCCUAACACAUGCAAGUCGAACGGUCCGGCGCUCAACCGACCCUCAGUCUAACUGUAGGGGAAGUUGAGUGCCGGGUAGUGGCGGACGGGUGAGUAACGCGUGGGCAACCAACCCUGUACAGUGGGAUAACACCGGGAAACCGGUGCUAAUACCGCAUGACACCUAUAUGGUGCAUACCGUAUAGGUUAAAGGAUUUAACCGGUACAGGACGGGCCCGCGUCCCAUUAGCUAGUUGGUGAGGUAACGGCCCACCAAGGCGACGAUGGGUAGCCGACCUGAGAGGGUGACCGGCCACACUGGGACUGAGACACGGCCCAGACUCCUACGGGAGGCAGCAGUGGGGAAUAUUGCGCAAUGGGGGGGAACCCUGACGCAGCGACGCCGCGUGAAGGAAGAAGGUCUUCGGAUCGUAAACUUCUAUCAGCAGGGAAGAAGGAAGUGACAGUACCUGAGUAAGAAGCCCCGGCUAACUACGUGC
rnacentral:rRNA from 1 species